CCGUUGCAAAAUUAUUUUAUGUCAUAUAUUCUGGGGGCACAAAGUUAUUUGAAUAUUUUUAUCUCUCCAGAAUAUUCACACUGUCCAGCGAUGAAACUCUUAGACUCUUAAACCCUCAUCUCUUUCCAUCUUGGGCACAGACAUUCACACUUCUUUUUUUCUGAAAAUAUUUUUAGGGAUUCAACCGGAUUUGUUUUGAACUCUUUUGUUUUCUCUUUCUUUUCAGUAGCUCAACCUUCAAACUUUUGAGUAAUCGUCAAUCUUUCCUUACUAAUCUUUCAUUAACAACUAACUUUCAUUGUUUGUGACUGCUGACUACCGACUCAUUCUCUCCGCUAAUAGACAUCUGCUGCUAUAACCUUAUCAUCAAGAUCUGGUUGAUAUUCGCUCGAAGUAAUCCUUGCUUUCCAUUUGCUGGUGAAGUGUAGUAUUUGGCUCCAAUUUUCUUUUCUUCCUUUAAUUCUUCGCACGUGGAAAAGUGUUAUUUGUACUGUCCACGUGGGGAUUCUGAUCGAUCCCUCCGCUAGGAUUCGAGGUUCCGCUAUGAGUUGGGUACCUACGCCCAUGAGAUGGCACAAAAAAAGAUAGGCAUGGAUCCGGGGGAAGGUACCAGUCAUUCCCCAUUGGGUAAGAGGGAUAAAGUUCCCUUAGAGGCACACAGUGAAUCUCUUGCACCCCUAGUUCCAGCUUUCCUGGCACCUGCUGAAGCACAAGGAGAUAUAGUGCCCUUAGCCCCACUGGUUCCAUUGUACCUGAGGCAGCUAUGGACACAAAACCUCCAAUACCUAUUUUUUCCCUUACCAGAAACUGGGGAGUAGGGGAUGAGGAAGGCGAUUCAAUUGCUAACUAUGAUGGUUGCUAUUCAUGAGCGACAACUAGAAUCGGGAGUAGAUGCUAGGAGAGAUCGAGCAGAAAGCUCGAAGGUACGAGAGUUUCUGGCUCCUCCAUUAUUUAUGGGAUUCAGUUCCACCGAGGACCGUAGGACUUGAUAGAACAAGUGUUAGAGUACUGAGGGAGUGAGGGUGAUGCAUGUUUUCAUCACUAAUGCUGUGGAGUUGGCCUUUUUUGGCUACAUGAUGUAGCCGUUCUAUGGUAUGAGGCAUGGGAGAGAUUCAGAGGACCUGAUGCUCCACCAGAAGAGUGGAGGACUUCUUUGAGGCUUCCUGGCCCAUUAUUUGCCAUGGGAGGUUUGGAAGGUCCUUCUUGACCAGUUUAUCAGUGAGGCAAGGUGAUGUGAGUGUGAGAAAUUAUAACCAUAGGUUUAAUUCUUUGGUGAGGUAUGCACUAGAUAUAGUACAUACCAAGAGGGCCUGAGUUCAUUAUUAUGUAGUUGGUUUGGGGGAUCAUCUGAUCAGAGACUGUAUGGCGGUAUCAUCCUUGUAGAUAUUUCCAGCAUGUAGGCUUCGCUCAGACUAAAGAGUACCUUUUUCGCUAGCUUUGAGAUAUCUGCAAAGAGUAAGAGGGCCCGUACUAUGGGGUCUUAUAGGAAGCCACAUGAUGAUUUUAGGCUUCCACUCCCUUGGUAUACACCCCGCCCAGCAGGUAGUUUUCCGCCACAGAUGUAGGGCCAGCAGUUUGAUCAAUAUAGUUAGUCAAGACCGAGGCAAAGCUCAAGUCGUCCUAAGGGCCGUUGACAAGAGAGUUCCGGGCAGAUGAGAUAGCCUACUACUUCAUGUAUGCAGUGCAAUAAGCUGCACGCCGGAUAGUGUAUACUGGGUUUAGAUGCAUGUUAUCACUGUUCAAACAUGACAUUUUAUUAGCCGGUGCCCGAGGUUGGAUAGAGGUGAGCCAACUCAACCUUUAGGAUCUGCAACAGACCCUUCACCUUAAGCCCCUCAGGGCCGUGGUAGGGAGAAAUAUGGAGGAAACACCUCAGAUUCCAGAGGUAUCUGAAUUCAGAGUGAAUUGUAUAAUAGUGAAUUAAAAUUUACAUAAUAAUGAAUUUAUUUAUAUGCAUACAUAAAUUGUAUAUGUACCUUAUAUAAAAUUGUAUAAUAGUGAAUUAAAAUGUAUCAAUAUUAAAUAAAA